rnacentral:rRNA from 1 species
GAUGAACGCUGGCGGCGUGCCUAAUACAUGCAAGUCGAGCGAACGGACGAGAAGCUUGCUUCUCUGAUGUUAGCGGCGGACGGGUGAGUAACACGUGGAUAACCUACCUAUAAGACUGGGAUAACUUCGGGAAACCGUAGCUAAUACCGGAUAAUAUUUUGAACCGCAUGGUUCAAAAGUGAAAGACGGUCUUGCUGUCACUUAUAGAUGGAUCCGCGCUGCAUUAGCUAGUUGGUAACGUAACGGCUUACCAGGGCAACGAUGCAUAGCCGACCUGAGAGGGUGAUCGGCCACACUGGAACUGAGACACGGUCCAGACUCCUACGGGAGGCAGCAGUAGGGAAUCUUCCGCAAUGGGCGAAAGCCUGACGGAGCAACGCCGCGUGAGUGAUGAAGGUCUUCGGAUCGUAAAACUCUGUUAUUAGGGAAGAACAUAUGUGUAAGUAACUGUGCACAUCUUGACGGUACCUAAUCAGAAAGCCACGGCUAACUACGUG